rnacentral:rRNA from 1 species
GACGAACGCUGGCGGCGUGCUUAACACAUGCAAGUCGAACGCUGAAGCUUGGUGCUUGCACUGGGUGGAUGAGUGGCGAACGGGUGAGUAAUACGUGAGUAACCUGCCCUUGACUCUGGGAUAAGCCUGGGAAACUGGGUCUAAUACUGGAUACGACAUGCCACUGCAUGGUGGUGUGUGGAAAGGGUUUUACUGGUUUUGGAUGGGCUCACGGCCUAUCAGCUUGUUGGUGGGGUAAUGGCCUACCAAGGCGACGACGGGUAGCCGGCCUGAGAGGGUGACCGGCCACACUGGGACUGAGACACGGCCCAGACUCCUACGGGAGGCAGCAGUGGGGAAUAUUGCACAAUGGGCGGAAGCCUGAUGCAGCGACGCCGCGUGAGGGAUGACGGCCUUCGGGUUGUAAACCUCUUUCAGCACGGAAGAAGCGAGAGUGACGGUACGUGAAGAAGAAGCGCCGGCUAACUACGUG